rnacentral:lncRNA from 1 species
ACUCGCACUCGCACUGCACAGACAGCCAGAUCCAGAGCGGCACCGGCACCAGCGCCACUGCCAGUACCGGUGCCAGUGUGCCAGUGCUUCUCUUCUUCUCCUGUCUGUGCCACCUUCCCUCCAUCCAUCACCCAGCAUUCCAUUCCAUUCCUCGUACUUCCUAGUGGUAGGCCGCCCAAGUCGAGCCCCACCAACGUAGGUUUUUUUGGAAGUACGAGGGAGAUCCGGCGGCCCCCAUCGGUUGGUCGGCGGCGUCGGAGGGAAAGGUUGGAAGGGGAAAGUGACUGUAGAUUACUUUUUUUGGUGGGGUACGGGAUUUUCCUUUUGCCUUUGUGCUGAUGCUGGCCCCUUCUAUUCCGCAGGGCUUUCUAUCUAUACCGUGCGCGAGGUGACCGUGCCCCCGCGCGCGGCCGCAGGCGCCGAUGCUCUCGCGGCGGCGCAUCCCUAGUGCUCCUCCAAUGGCG